GGGUGAGUAAUACAUAUGCAACUUGCCCGUAGCUGGAGGAUAGCUUCCGGAAACGGAAAUUAAUACUCCAUAAUAUCCUAAUAUCGCAUGUUAUAAGGAUUAAAGUUUCGACGGCUACGGAUGGGCAUAUGUCCCAUUAGCUUGUUGGUGAGGUAACGGCUCACCAAGGCUACGAUGGGUAGGGGGCCUGAGAGGGUGAUCCCCCACACUGGUACUGAGACACGGACCAGACUCCUACGGGAGGCAGCAGUGAGGAAUAUUGGUCAAUGGGCGAAAGCCUGAACCAGCCAUGCCGCGUGCAGGAUGACUGUCCUAUGGAUUGUAAACUGCUUUUCUGCAGGAAGAAACGCUUCUACGUGUAGAGGUUUGACGGUACUGCAGGAAUAAGCAUCGGCUAACUCCGUGCCAGCAGCCGCGGUAAUACGGAGGAUGCAAGCGUUAUCCGGAUUCAUUGGGUUUAAAGGGUGCGUAGGCGGAUUGGUAAGUCAAAGGUGAAAGUCUGUAGCUUAACUAUAGAAGUGCCUUUGAUACUGCUAGUCUUGAGUACAGUUGAGGCGAGUGGAAUGUGUAGUGUAGCGGUGAAAUGCAUAGAUACUACACAGAACACCAAUUGUGAAGACAGCUCGCUAAGCUGCUACUGACGCUCAGGCACGAAAGCGUGGGGAGCGAACAGGAUUAGAUACCCUGGUAGUCCACGCUGUAAACUAUGAUCACUAGCUGUUGGCGAUAAAUUGUCAGUGGCUGAGCGAAAGCGUUAAGUGAUCCACCUGGGGAGUACGAUCGCAAGGUUGAAACUCAAAGGAAUUGACGGGGGCCCGCACAAGCGGUGGAACAUGUGGUUUAAUUCGAUGAUACGCGAGGAACCUUACCUGGGCUUAAAUGUAGAAGGACGUCCUGAGAAAUCGGGAUUCCCUUCGGGGCGGAGUACAAGGUGUUGCAUGGUUGUCGUCAGCUCGUGCCGUGAGGUAUCGGGUUAAGUCCCAUA
rnacentral:rRNA from 1 species